rnacentral:misc_RNA from 1 species
GAAAUUUCGCGACUCUAGUAGCUCUAAGGUAAAGCUAAUCGGCACUGAGGUAAAGCUAAUUGGUAACUUGUUCUUUAGUAAAGCAUACCACAUUGUACCAGAACUCGGUUGGCUCAAGCCUUUGGCACAAUCCAUAUAGGGGUCAGGAUGGGUAUUUUGGCCUGAAUAGUUUAAAGAAACAGACGUUCCAGGAGAUUAAGGAGAAAAUAGCUAGAGAACUUAAUUACCGCAAGGGGGAAAGGAGAUUUUUAUCAACGCUAUACCCAUAGCUAUCACCAUAUACCAAGUUAUCAAAGAGUUUGUGCAAGGAAAUCAGUAGCACGGUAGCUAAUUUCUGGUGGGGAAAAUAAAAUAAUGAAAGAAGGAUGCAUUGGGCUUCCUACGACAUUUUGUGUGACCAGAGGAGUAUAGGGGGACCGGGUUUUUGACGCAUCGAACCCUUCGAUUUCACUUUGUUAGCAAAGCAGGGAUGGAACUUUGCAACUCCUAACACGAUUUUUCGAAGGAAAAAUUUUACCUUUUAUUCGUUCAUGAAUGCACAACUUGGACAUAACCUUCGUGGGCUCGGCACAGCAUCAGCCAUCAGGUAAGGAAGGAAAUUGUAACAAUAUGGCUUGAGAUGACAGAUCAAUGCUCUGGAGAGAGGAACCUUGGUUAGCUUCUGUCCUUCCCAUCAGGUUCACAGUUCGACAGGAGCCGCCAGAAGUGUUGGCCUAUACUUUUACAGGUCUGAAUGGAUUAUGUCUUCUCACAAUUGAUGCAGCCUCGCCCUCAGGACUAUCCCCCAGCUCAUUAUAUGUACCAUCCGAAGUGUUAGCUUAGUAAAAUCACAGCCUUUGACUAAAGUACACAUUCAUAAAAUAUCUCGACUGAUUGAAGCCACUUAAAAUCAAAACAGGAAAAAGGACAAUGACAAUGCCUAUUGGAUAGAGGAAAAAAGUUGUCCUCUCCAAAAAGGGUAACACUGCAGUACAAGCAUGCUAUCAGUAAAUUAAUCAAUAAAGGAGAUAAAGUGACCGUAUUUUUACAGCAAAAGUUUCACCAGCCACCUUAAGUUUGGAACUAUACCAAAGUAAAACUUUAUUAAACAGGUUUAUUAAUGACACUUUCAAUACUAGUUUUCUUUCCCAACUGAAGGGGGAAAACAGUACUCUAGAAAUUGGAGGAGAAAACAUUUUUUGUUCCACAAAAGAAGUAUAUUUCAAAACUGACCCGGAAAUCCAAACAAAAAGAACAGAGAAUCAACAAUCGGAGAUUCAGCCAGGAUUAAAUACUUUAAAAUUUUUCCCUUUUUUCCCAUAUGAUAGAAAACACAGAUAUAUACAUUUAUCUUUUCAAAAAUACAUAGCAAUUCAGAUAUAUUAAGUUCAUAGGAGAGGAUUGGGAAAAAAAACAUGUAGAUGAUGUAUCAUCAACUCGUCCUCUCUUCUUUUGAAAUUUCUUUCAAUCCAUUUUUUCUUGACAAAUUGCUUUAGAGGUUUAGUACAAUAAAUUUUGAUGGGAAUACAUGAUUCACACAAAAUUAUUAUGUGAAAAAAAUAAUGGAUAUACGAUUAGAUCUUUUUUAACACAAAAAUUAUUUCUGCUUAUAAAAGUUGAAAAGUUGGAAAAAAACUCUUUUUCACUUGAUAAGAAUUUUCUUUUGAAACCUUUCAUGAUUUUAUGGAGAAAUGAAUAAAAGUUGAAAAUAGAAAAUACAAAUGGGGGCUAGGGCUACAGUUAUACUAGUUUAUAAAAUUCAAGGUUGAUAUUGUAAUGUUAAAGUAUAGAGUUCAAUUUGUAAUGACCUCUAAAGUUUAGGGUGUUAAAUAAAGCUAUCCCCAAGUUUUUUUUUACCAUCUCACCAUUUUGGCUAAGAUAUUUCUAGUCUACUUCAAAAAUACAAUUCAACUUACCAUCAUAACCUAAAAAGUUGAGAUAAUAAUAGUAGGAGGCCGCCACCAUGAAAAGCAUAUUUGACAGCAAUGUAGGUAUCAAACCAUGGGCUACCAAAAGAGGAGAUAGAAAAUAAUGUAUAACGUAAAGCAUAACAAACAAUGGGAAGAAAGAAUUGCAGUGCACAUCAAAUGCAUAAAGCCUUCAACAAAAGAAGAGGAAAACAUAAAAUAGAAGUCAGCAAUCUGCAGUAAAUAAUAAAACAUUCAAGAUUAAAAAAAAAAAAUCACAUGCAGAAAAUAUACAUGAAAUAUAGAUAUACAAGAAUCUAUGAUAACGCAUAAAUAAGACUAUCUAUGCACACAGUUACUGAAAAUAUAUUUCAAAGAAGGUGGGAAUCUAGACUUGCCAUUCAACCCGUUGCUCAACCACAUGACUAUUUGGAGCCUCCUCUCUAAGGUAUGCAUUAGUUAGGAACCAACAACAUGUAGCCAAAACAACUCCACUAACUAAAAAAUGGAAAAUCAACACAGAGAUAACUACAAAAACAGCAUGUGCAGCACUGUGGUCGUACGCAGCACAAUAAGCCAAGGUGGAAACUGCCAAAAGGAGACUGCAUAUUACAAUAAAAGCUGGGUCAUCACGUGCCCA